AGAGUUUGAUCCUGGCUCAGGAUGAACGCUAGCUACAGGCUUAACACAUGCAAGUCGAGGGGAAACGACAUCGAAAGCUUGCUUUUGAUGGGCGUCGACCGGCGCACGGGUGAGUAACGCGUAUCCAACCUGCCCACCACUUGGGGAUAACCUUGCGAAAGUAAGACUAAUACCCAAUGACGUCUCUAGAAGACAUCUGAAGGAGAUUAAAGAUUUAUCGGUGAUGGAUGGGGAUGCGUCUGAUUAGCUUGUUGGCGGGGUAACGGCCACCAAGGGCGACGAUCAGUAGGGGGUUCUGAGAGGAAGGUCCCCCACAUUGGAACUGGAGACACGGUCCAAACGUCCUAACGGGAGGCA
rnacentral:rRNA from 1 species